AAUGAAAGUAACAGACCUGAUUUACUCUGCGGGCAGCCAGCUGACUACCUUGUUGAAGAGAAACAUUUCACAACGCUUGUAUGCUUCAUUGUUGUUUUGGGAGGUGCACCAAAUUGUCUACCCUCUUCUAAGAACAUCAAGUUUUUCACUUUAUUCUUACUUUUCACCUUUAAUUAUAUUUAUGGUUGCUUUGGAUGUAGAAUUUUAUACACUCAAGAAAAUGUUUUGGC
rnacentral:ncRNA from 2 species